AAAAACAACUAUAUCCAGGGUUUAUUUGACAGAUAAGCAUGAAAAACAUGCUCUUUAUAUAUCAGGAACUAAAACACCUUCUGUCUGUUUGUUAGGUAUAACUGGAAAGUUGCGUUUACAUCCCUAUGAUGGGAGGCGGACUGAGAAAUUCUUGCCUUGCAACAUUCUCAGUGAUUUUGUGCAGAUCUGCAGUUCUCCCAUUCAUGUAGUUCUUUCCAAGCUAGAAGAUAGAAGAAGAGUUACAAGAGGGUGUUUCGUUUCUUUCAAGAGUUUCCAGUGGAAUGGACUCCUCUCCUGGGCAGAAAAAGUGUGAUACAAAUUUCUUAAAUAACAGAAAAGGCAAGCUGCAAAAAAGUAAAAGGUGUUCAAUGAUUCACUCGUGGGCCACUACUGUACAUUGCUACUAAUGUUUUUCAUUGUUUAUGAAACAUGAGAAAGAUUUGCGAGAAUGAUAGAAUAAUAGCUGGAAGGGGCACAGUGGAUCAUUUCAUCUUUACAGUGUUUGUUGUUAUUGUUUUCAGGCUGUUAUUCCUAUUUUUAAAUAAGUUUACUGAUUAACAACUUGGUAUUCUGGGUGUUGAUGUAUUCUAAGAACAAAACAGUUCAAUCAAUACUAGAUCAGUGUUUCCCAAACUUUGGGCCUGAGAUGUUCUUGGACUACAACUCCCAGAAUUCCCGGCCAGCACAAUAAACUGCCUCAGACUCAAUUCUAUGUUGAAUAG
rnacentral:lncRNA from 1 species